rnacentral:lncRNA from 1 species
GAGUUAAGGGGUGGGGUUUAUGAUUUAGGGUUUAGGGUUUAGAGUUUAGGGUUUAGAGUUUAGGGGUGGAGUUUAGGGUUUAGAAUUAAGAGGUGGAGUUUAGGGUUUAGGGUUUAGGGUUAAGGGUUUAGGGUUUAGAGUUUAGAGUUUUUGGUUUUAGGGUUUAGAGUUGGGGAUUGGGGUUUUGGGAUAAGAUUUCAAAGUUUGAAAAAUAAAAAAAAUUUAAAUUUUUCAAAACAUAAAAUGUUAUUUUGGUCAUUUUAGUUUUUGAAGACUAUUUUUGUGACAUAAAGUUAGAAAUGUACUAUUUUGAAAAUUUGUCCAUUAUCUUUAGGUAUUAACAUUAAAUGCGGUUUUUACAUAUUACAUGAACAUACUCAACAAAUAUAUUUUUACCAAUUUGAAACUUGAAAAGUAAUAACACAAUACUAACUUGCACAAUUAAAGUAUAGACUAAUAAACAACUUUGUCCAACUUCGUCAUUGGUCUAAAAUGAUAUUAUCUU